GACGAACGCUGGCGGCGUGCCUAAUACAUGCAAGUAGAACGCUGAAGGAGGAGCUUGCUUCUCAGGAUGAGUUGCGAACGGGUGAGUAACGCGUAGGUAACCUGCCUGGUAGCGGGGGAUAACUAUUGGAAACGAUAGCUAAUACCGCAUAACAGUAGAUAUUGCAUGAUAUCUGCUUGAAAGGUGCAAAUGCAUCACUACCAGAUGGACCUGCGUUGUAUUAGCUAGUUGGUGGGGUAACGGCUCACCAAGGCGACGAUACAUAGCCGACCUGAGAGGGUGAUCGGCCACACUGGGACUGAGACACGGCCCAGACUCCUACGGGAGGCAGCAGUAGGGAAUCUUCGGCAAUGGACGGAAGUCUGACCGAGCAACGCCGCGUGAGUGAAGAAGGUUUUCGGAUCGUAAAGCUCUGUUGUAAGAGAAGAACGAGUGUGAGAGUGGAAAGUUCACACUGUGACGGUAUCUUACCAGAAAGGGACGGCUAACUACGUGCCAGCAGCCGCGGUAAUACGUAGGUCCCGAGCGUUGUCCGGAUUUAUUGGGCGUAAAGCGAGCGCAGGCGGUUAGAUAAGUCUGAAGUUAAAGGCUGUGGCUUAACCAUAGUACGCUUUGGAAACUGUUUAACUUGAGUGCAAGAGGGGAGAGUGGAAUUCCAUGUGUAGCGGUGAAAUGCGUAGAUAUAUGGAGGAACACCGGUGGCGAAAGCGGCUCUCUGGCUUGUAACUGACGCUGAGGCUCGAAAGCGUGGGGAGCAAACAGG
rnacentral:rRNA from 1 species